GACGAACGCUGGCGGCGUGCUUAACACAUGCAAGUCGAACGGUGAAGCGAGUGCUUGCACUCGUGGAUCAGUGGCGAACGGGUGAGUAACACGUGAGUAACCUGCCCAUCACUCUGGGAUAAGCACUGGAAACGGUGUCUAAUACUGGAUACGACCAACCCUUGCAUGGGGUGUUGGUGGAAAGAUUUAUCGGUGAUGGAUGGACUCGCGGCCUAUCAGCUUGUUGGCGGAGUAAUGGCCCACCAAGGCGACGACGGGUAGCCGGCCUGAGAGGGUGACCGGCCACACUGGGACUGAGACACGGCCCAGACUCCUACGGGAGGCAGCAGUGGGGAAUAUUGCACAAUGGGCGAAAGCCUGAUGCAGCGACGCCGCGUGAGGGAUGACGGCCUUCGGGUUGUAAACCUCUUUCAGCAGGGAAGAAGCGAAAGUGACGGUACCUGCAGAAGAAGCACCGGCUAACUACGUG
rnacentral:rRNA from 1 species